rnacentral:lncRNA from 10 species
UUGGCAUUCACCCCACCUCCAGGUCUGUCAAGUGGCCUUUGCCCCUGGGGCUGAUGGCCCUUCCUACUCACCAGCAUUAUGACCGUGUGCCAUUCCUGGUGCUUCCUCCCCUGGCUCCCUACUGUUGAAGGCCAAAAGAGUGAGGGUCGUGAUCAACUCAGUAUACUACUGGAGGCUACAUAAGUAAACAGCAAACUUCAUGAAAGCUGGAUGUUGGCAAACUGACAAACUGUGUCUGCCACCCAGAAGGAAUGCUGAGGGCGUGACGCCCCAGACACAAGUGUUUCUUGUAAUUAGGCACAUCUGAAGCUUGUUAGCAAUAAUGUUAAUCUGUGAUCAAUUAAGCAGCUUGACCAGUCGUUACCUCCUGCUCCCUGCUCUUUCUACCCAAUAAAUAGGAAGGGCUGUAGAGG